rnacentral:lncRNA from 1 species
CUCCCUCUCUCCCUCCCUUCCUACUAAAAACCAAUAAGGCUAGGGAGCCUAUCUGCAUAGUUCUGUGAAUGUCUCGGAACAAAGCAAUACACAGAAGCUAAUGCUCUCAUCCUGUGUAAGAUACAAAUCUUGUCACAUCAUGGACCAUCGUGGAGCAUGAAGCUAUUUCUAAUGUGAUGGGGGAAAUGUUUCUAGCAGAAGAGCAAGACAUGGUCCUGGUGCAUGAAAGGAGCCUAAGAAAGAAGAGUGAAAGCUGCACGUGUGUGAGUAUCUAGCAGAACAUCUAGAAAAUGCACACCAACCUCCAGCAGCAGAAAACAGUCUACCUCCAGAAAGCCAUAAAAGAGAAAAGAAUGUUGUACCAAACUAAGCAAAUGAAGCAUGAAAUGAAAAGCCGGUUGAGCUGGGAGGUAUAAAGAAUGGAAAGGAAGCAGCUACCACCCCUGGUAACCCCAUCAAUCCGGAGAAGCUUCGCAGAGUUACACUGUGCUCUGUCGGGAAGGAAAUGAAUUUUCCUCAUUGUACACAUUCCGAGAAAAAUGAGGCUAAGACUAUUUCAAAGGAUGUUCUACCUAAUUCGAAUGGGCUUUAAGUGCCAUCUUCACAAUAGCGCCAGAGUCUGGUGUCAGCAAACUGAACAAAUAGAGCUACAGGGAGCGAAUGGGGCUGGGUGCCUCUCCAAAACAUAUGCAGAUGAACUUGAGAUUUCAGAGGACGGUUAAUCCUACACAGCAGUCAAGUGCCUUCCCAGGGAGCAUCCUGGCAGGCAUCCACUGUGCCAUAUGCUUUCGGGAAGUCUGGAUGCUGAAUGUGGUGGCUGUGGGGAAUUGAGCCUUAUUGCUUCAUAAGAUUCCUGGUGGUAGAACUAUUCUGAACAAGAACACGUCCGUCCCCAUAGGUGUGCUCCAAGAAUCACAGAAUAAGAAGGGACUUCGGAGAGAGCCUCACACAGUUGGGCAAUGGGAGCCCAGAGAGGCAAGGAAGGCUCCUUGCCCAAAGUCUUGUACAUCUGAAUCUGCAACUCCUGACUAUUUUUGAGUCUUAUGCUCCAGGCUAAAACUUGUGACUUUAAGUGUGAUGUUCUCGGUGAUGAUUAAUCUAGGAUGUUUCUGUUGUUUUCUUACCGUCAAAGAAUUAACAUCAAAAGGAAAGGAAGGAAGAAAUGUAGAAGUGAAGGCAAGAAGGAAGGAAGGAGGAAAGGAAGGAAGGAAAAUAUAGGCUUUGGGUAAAAAUAAGUUUCUACUCAACACUGACAAAGGUACAGGUUUUGGACAUUGGUUUCCUAAUCUGUAAAUGAGGAAUAGUCAUCACAUCGCUGUCCUGGCUGGUUUUGUGUGUCAACUUGACACAAGCUGGAGUUAUCACAGAGAAAGGAAAGAAAAUGCCUCCAUGAGAUCUAGCUGUAAAUGGAUUAGUGAUCAAGAGUGGGAGGGCCCAGUGUGGGUGGUGCCAUCCCUGGACUGGUGGUCCUGGGUUCUACAAGAAAACAAGCUGAGCAAGCCAGGGGAAGCAAGCCAGGGGAACAUCCCUCCACGGCUCUGCAUCAGCUCCUGCUUCCUGCCCUGUGUGAGUUCCAGUCCUGACUUCCUUUGGUGACGAACAGCAAUGUGAUAGUAUAAGCUGAAUAAACCCUUUCCUCCCCAAC